rnacentral:tRNA from 1 species
CCUCACUUAGCCCAAUCUGGUAGAGGCGAUCGGCUCAGACCCGAUGCGUUGGGGGUUCGAAUCCCUCAGUGAGGA